AGUUUGAUCAUGGCUCAGAUUGAACGCUGGCGGCAGGCCUAACACAUGCAAGUCGAACGGUAACAGGAAUCAGCUUGCUGAUUCGCUGACGAGUGGCGGACGGGGGAGUAAUGUCUGGGAAACUGCCUGAUGGAGGGGGAUAACUACUGGAAACGGUAGCUAAUACCGCAUAACGUCGCAAGACCAAAGAGGGGGACCUUCGGGCCUCUUGCCAUCGGAUGUGCCCAGAUGGGAUUAGCUAGUAGGUGGGGUAACGGCUCACCUAGGCGACGAUCCCUAGCUGGUCUGAGAGGAUGACCAGCCACACUGGAACUGAGACACGGUCCAGACUCCUACGGGAGGCAGCAGUGGGGAAUAU
rnacentral:rRNA from 1 species